UCGGGCCGCGCAAUAUUGGUCCGGGGCGAUAAUACGAAGCCACUCUUUUCACAGGGCAAUAAUGUACGACCCCAUAAUUCGCGUCCAAUAAUUUGAGUCCCUUGGCUUUCAAUUAUUGGGCUGCGCAUUAUUGGUACAGGUCGAGAAAGCCCGACCCAAUAAUGUACGACCCAAUAAUAGGAAGCCAAAAACCAGAGAGAUUCUUUUUUUUAAGGGAGCUGUCAAAAUUAGUAGGGACGUUCUGACAUUAGCUCUUGACAAUUUAAAAAUAAUCGGUUUUUUCUAGUGCCAUCUUUCAGUGACAUUGACAGUAUUGUAUUGACACUUGUUGGUUUACAAAUACAAUAAAAUGAAUUCUAAUAAAAGAAACAGUAGACUCAGUAGAGGUACGAGGUACUGAAAAAAUAUUAAUUAAUGGAGAAGCCGAAGUUGGAGGAAAACAAGAAGAUUCGAGGAGAAUGGUGUGGCACUUAAUGCCGCCGGGACAGUAACCUAGCUGCAGCUCCAACUCUAGGGAAUUGGGCUGAAUGAACGCAACACGUGAUCGACAGCCCACCUGCUUCCUGCCGAGCGUCCCUACACUACAUCUACAUGGAUUCGCUUAUUCUGCUCUACAAAACUUCUAAAACAAUACAAAUAAUACAGGAAGAAGAGAUUAAACAACAGGCGGUCUUAUCGCUAAAAAGCGAUCUCUUCCAGACAACCUUACUACUUUUGAGGUUAGAACAACCCACGAAAACAUUUAAUGUAAAGUGUUGCCAAGACUAGUUGCAUAAAGCUUUUACACUAAAAAAGUUAUCAGAUCCCGUAGUAGGUACCAAGACUUUUACUCUGUCAUUCCUAACUUUAUAAGCUCUAACAGUAUAAAGCCAACAUCUUGGUCAAACAGUACGGCUUGGCCGUUUCGUUGGUGUCAUACUCAUAUGGACAAUCCCGUAAUGACACUUUCAGAAUUUGAAAGACCUUUGUUGCUACUUUGUACAACAAGUCCACUGAGGGAGUGUUUGUAAAAACGACAUAUCAGUUUAUAUAAACUACGAUAAUACAAGGUCAUAUAAGCAGGCAUAAUUUUAAAACAUUUAACAUUUAGGUUUUCAGAAAAGUUACGUACCUAUUUCUAGCGACAUCUAUGUAUGUAGGGCCUAUAUAAAAUAAGCCAGGAAAGUUAUGAAAGUGAAUUAAAGUUCAUGUUGCACUGAUAAAAUCAUUUUAAACAAAUAUUCUAAAUAUAAUUAUUCUCAAAUUUCAGGAGCUGAUACAAGCAGCCAGAAUGAGUCUCUGCUGAGUCGCCGGCGCCGGACGUGCGUCGCGCGCCUCGGGCGACUGACGUCUUCGUGUGAGUCGCCAAUUGCAGGGGAAGAUACGAAUAGUUAGGUAUAAAAGCUACUUUAGUCAACCUCGCCUCAGUACUGUUUGUAUUGACUGAAAUACAAGUAGCAUAUAUGAGACGUUCGGACGUAUCCGAGAAAAUACGAAGGUAAAGGAAAUUGCACUACAUUUUUAGAACCUAUUCACCUGUCAGUAAAAUAUUGAAAAGGAAAGUUCAUGAGUUUUAUUAUUUUCUUUCCUCCAACAGCUUCACAUGGAGCAAAUGUAAACCUUUUAUGUUAAUAAUAUCAGUAAUGUCAAGGUACAACGCUCUUUAGAGCAUAUUGCCAUUCCUUUUACUCGAGUGGCCUGUGGGUUAACUAUACGAAGCGAGCCUACGAUGCAUUAAAAGUGCAGUAUAACAAUGCAUUCAGAAUGCUGUUGGGCUUACCUCGUAGAUGUAGUGCAUCUGGCAUGUUUUGCGAAGCUAGAAGUUUUCUGGCAAUCAUGCGCAAGAAAAUAGUAUCUCUGCUAGGUCGAGUUAGAAGCAGUCCCAAACAUACAUGUUCGAAAAGUAGAACUCCCUUAGUAGGCCAAGCAAUAAGAAGUUAUAGAGGGAAAUGCUAGGAACACAAUUUUUGACUACGUAACUUUGUUUGGACUAGUUAGGAGGUGAACAUAUCAAAAGUCCCCGGCUGUAGCCCCGGUGCUGGGGGGUAGACUAGUUAUAGUCCAAACAA